CACUUCUAAGGAAGGCAGCAGGCGCGCAAAUUACCCAAUCCUGACUCAGGGAGGUAGUGACAAGAAAUAACAAUAAACCGGCUUAUGCCGGUUUAAUUGGAAUGAGUACAAUUUAAACAUCUUAACGAGGAACAAUUGGAGGGCAAGUCUGGUGCCAGCAGCCGCGGUAAUUCCAGCUCCAAUAGCGUAUACUAAAGUUGUUGCAGUUAAAAAGCUCGUAGUUGGAUUUCUGUGGGGACGGAGCGGCCGGCCGCACAUCGCGGUUCGAGCUAGCGCUUUCCCUACAUCCUGCCGCGAACCGUGCUACCAUUAAUUUGGUGGCGCCGGGGAUCGGCUCGAUUACUUUGAGAAAAAUAGAGUGUUCAAAGCAGGCCACAUGCCUUGAAUAAGUUAGCAUGGAAUAAUAACUAAGGACUUCGGUUCUAUUUUGUUGGUGUUCGGGACUGAUGUAAUGAUUGAUAGGGACAGUUGGGGCGGUCUGUAUUCCAAAGCGAGAGGUGAAAUUCUUAGACCUUCGGAAGACAAACAGCUGCGAAAGCGUUCCGCAAGGAUGUUCCCUUUGAUCAAGAACGAAGGUUGGGGGAUCGAAGACGAUCAGAUACCGUCGUAGUCUCAACUAUAAACUAUACCAGCUAGGGAUCGGCCAACGUUAUUUUAUACCGACUUGGUCGGCACCUUAUGAGAAAUCAAAGCAUCUGGGUUCCGGGGGGAGUAUGGUCGCAAGGCUGAAACUUAAAGGAAUUGACGGAAGGGCACCACCAGCCGUGGAGCCUGUGGCUUAAUUUGACUCAACACGGGAAAACCUACCAGGUCCAGACAUAGUAAGGAUUGACAGAUUGAUAGCUCUUUCUUGAUUCUGUGGGUGGUGGUGCAUGGCCGUUCUUAGUUGGUGGAGUGAUUUGUCUGGUUAAUUCCGUUAACGAACGAGACCCCAGCCUGCUAAAUAGCGCGCGUGAGCUUUGCUCGCGGCGAGCUUCUUAGAGGGACUCUGAUGCGCGAUAGCACAUGGAAGUUUGGGGCAAUAACAGGUCUGUGAUGCCCUUAGAUGUUCUGGGCCGCACACGGGCUACACUGGCGCCUGCAACGAGCAUAUCAGCUGGCCCGAGAGGGUCUUGGCUAAUCUUUUGAACCGGCGCCGUGCUUGGGAUUGACCUUUGCAAUUGUUGGUCAUGCAACGAGGAAUGCCUUGUAAACGCGAGUCAUCAGCUCGCAUUGAAUACGUCCCUGCCCUUUGUACACACCGCCCGUCGCUCCUACCGAUGAAUGUUCCGAUGAAAUUUUCGGAGAGCACCUGUGAACUUGGCUCUGCCUUGCGAACGGGAGGCUCAAAGUCACUUAAAUCUGAACAUUUC
rnacentral:rRNA from 1 species